UGUAGUGUGAACGAUGAUGCAUACAUGUCAACUAUGGGUGUUGGCUCGGACAAUUCGCAUUGGUCUCAAACCAAUGACAUGCAUUUUGAAGACCAUGAGUUCGAGGUGGACGAGGAUGGUGAGGGCAUUGUCGACGCACCGAAAGGAAGAGGAGGCAACUACACCAACGACGAAGACGUUGUGCUAUGCAAAACUUGGUUGGGCGUGUUGGGAUGCAUCCGUUGGAGAUGA
rnacentral:rRNA from 1 species